rnacentral:rRNA from 1 species
UACCAGCACCCCGAGUGGUCGGGACGAUUAUUGGGCCUAAAGCAUCCGUAGCCGGUUUUACAAGUCCUCCGUUAAAUCCAGCUGCUUAACAGAUGGGCUGCGGAGGAUACUAUAAGACUAGGAGGCAGGAGAGGCAAGCGGUACUCAGUGGGUAGGGGUAAAAUCCUUUGAUCCAUUGAAGACCACCAGUGGCGAAGGCGGCUUGCCAGAACGCGCUCGACGGUGAGGGAUGAAAGCUGGGGGAGCAAACCGG